GACGAACGCUGGCGGCGUGCUUAACACAUGCAAGUCGAGCGGUAAGGCCCUUUCGGGGGUACACGAGCGGCGAACGGGUGAGUAACACGUGGGUGACCUGCCCUCAGCUCUGGGAUAAGCCUGGGAAACCGGGUCUAAUACCGGAUAUGACUCCAUGACGCAUGUUGUGGGGUGGAAAGCCUUGUGCGGCUGAGGAUGGGCCCGCGGCCUAUCAGCUUGUUGGUGGGGUGANGGCCUACCAAGGCGACGACGGGUAGCCGGCCUGAGAGGGCGACCGGCCACACUGGGACUGAGACACGGCCCAGACUCCUACGGGAGGCAGCAGUGGGGAAUCUUGCGCAAUGGGCGAAAGCCUGACGCAGCGACGCCGCGUGAGGGAUGACGGCCUGGUUGUAACGUACUU
rnacentral:rRNA from 1 species